GGGUGCAAUCAUACCAACGUUAAUGCAUUGGAUCCCAUCAGAACUCUGCAAUUAUGCGUGCUUGGGAUAGAGUAGUACUGGGAUGGGUGAUACUCCCGGGAAGUCCUAGUGUUGCACCCU
rnacentral:rRNA from 1 species